GUGGACGUUGUUCGCUCAGCAGGUUAGAGUGUGGGACGCUCGCAAAGCUUUUUUCCCCCGUCCGUCGUGUCUUUUCCUGUGUGAACUCUGCCGCUCUCAACAGCAGCACUGGCUAUGAGCUAGCUCCUGCUAGCUCCAACAACCAUCUCUCAACUGCUACAAGGUCCAACUUGACACACAACUUGAAUCCAACCAGACUGAACACUGACUCCAGGGACAGACGAGCCUGAAGGACACAGCUGUGAUGACCAUGUUCUGUCUCUUAUGGCAAAGCAGAAAUAUAAAACACUGGGUUCUUAUCUAAAGUGUAUCAAAUCAGAUCUCCACCAUGUUGCUGCUGAGGAC